GCAGGAAGAGACCACAGAGUCAGAGAGAAGACAGGUGGUGUUGCCACAGAAGCUGUGUGUGUUCAACAGCUGUUUGCCAGAGAAGGAGUGUUUCAUGAAGAAACACAUCUGCAUUUGCAAACAGUGGCUCAUCAAGGUGAGAGACAGAAGGUAAAAGUACAUGCAUGAGAGAACAGUUCUGUGAUGGCUGAAUGCAACGAAAAUGUGGAAAGGACUGUCAAAGGCAGAGAAAACUGGACUGCUUCUGUGG